rnacentral:lncRNA from 1 species
UCCUAGACUAGGUAUUUGACCUAGAUAAGGACUCUUCAUAUCUCUCUAUUUAAAAUAAAUUUCUUCAUAAAAUUUUUGUGGAACACAAAGCAUUAAGAGACCUUUAGGGAAUCCAAAAAUCAAGGAGAAAGAGUCUUGGGGCAUGGAGAUCUAAUAGACACAAAACUAGGUAUCUGGGUUAGAGCAAAGAGAAGAAGAAGAGGAUCUUCUUCUAGAGUUGCUGGGUUCAUCUCUUC